rnacentral:rRNA from 1 species
GACGAACGCUGGCGGCGUGCCUAAUACAUGCAAGUCGAACGCAGUGGGGACGGGUGAGUAACACGUGGGUAACCUCCCAUCAGAGGGGAUAACACUUGGAAACAGGUGCUAAACCGAUACUGAUGGAUGGACCCGCGGUGCAUUAGCUAGUUGGUGAGGUAACGGCUCACCAAGGCCACGAUCCCUAGCUGGUCUGAGAGGAGGAUCGGCCACACUGGGACUGAGACACGGUCCAGACUCCUACGGGAGGCAGCAGUGGGGAAUAGUGCACAAUGGGCGCAAGUCUGACACAGCCAUGCCGCGUGGGUGAAGAAGGCUUUCGGGUCGUAAAGCACUGUUAUCGGGGAGGCGGUACCCGCAGAGGAAGCAACGGCUAACUCCGUGCCAGCAGCCGCGGUAAUAC